rnacentral:sRNA from 1 species
CUCGGUGUAAUUUAUUAUUCUUUAAAAGACAAAUGAGAUCUGAAGAAGGAAAGUCAUUGCCUCUAUUAAAAAAAUCUAUUAUUGGCAGACAUGGUACCAGAAUUAUCUUAAUUUAAAAAUAUUAUUUGUUAUUAUUAUCUGUACGUAUGGAGAAAUAUGCCAUGGUACAUAUGUGAGGGUCAGAUGACAAUUUUUAAAUUGAUUAUCUUCCUCCAUUUCAGGUGGAGUCUAGAGACUAACGUAGGAAGAUCAUCUGGCUUGCAGAAGAAAAGAACUUAUGACAGAAGUAUAUUAUGAUUGUACCCUACGAGGACCAACAUCGGCUGACUGAGACAAAAGCAGACUCUUAACAAAGAAUCAUUGAACAAAAGUCACAGACCCCUGUGGUUGAAUUAGGGAAAGGUGGGAAGAAGCUAAGGAGGAGAGUGACCCUACAGAAAGAGCAGCAGUCUCAACAAACCCAGACCCCUGAGAUCUCUCAGACACUGAACCACCAAUCAGACAACAUAAAGGAGCUGGUCCGAGGUUCCAGACACAUGUACAAACAGAAGACUGCCUGGUCUGGCCACAGUGGGAGAAGAAGAGCCUAAACCUCUAGAGACUUGAGGCCCGGGUGACUAGAGGAAUGGUGGAAUGGUAGACCAGGAGGGGAGCAACUACUAGACUGUAAAACAAUAAAGACAAUCCCUAAAGGCGUUUUGGCUGUUAUGGAUUAAAAACAAUUUCCACCAUUUUCAUAGGGAAGCAGAACAAGGACAUGAAUAUUUCAAUGUAUGAUUGAGGAGAAAGUUCAUUGUAUAUAUGAGGAAGAGCACAACCAGAGGCAUUUGGAAUUAUCCUGACUGAGAUGGGGCAGCAUACUGAACUGAGCCCAAGGAGGAGAAAGGAAGAGGAAGAGAGCAAGGGAAAAGGAGAAGAGUGAGGAGAGAUGAGAUGGGGAUGCGAGGCCAAGAUCUAUGGUGCCUAGAUUCAUGGUGGGUACUGGGUUCUGCCUCACUUUGCUAGAGAUUGUGGGCACCUCUAAUUCAAUCAGCUCAAGGAAGAUGGAGUCCAAAGCUUUAUUUUUCCUUGGUGUGUUACAUGCCCCUGCAUGCC